UACGGGAGGCAGCAGUGGGGAAUAUUGCACAAUGGGCGCAAGCCUGAUGCAGCCAUGCCGCGUGUAUGAAGAAGGCCUUCGGGUUGUAAAGUACUUUCAGUCGUGAGGAAGGUGUUAAGGUUAAUAACCUUAGCAAUUGACGUUAGCGACAGAAGAAGCACCGGCUAACUCCGUGCCAGCAGCCGCGGUAAUACGGAGGGUGCGAGCGUUAAUCGGAAUUACUGGGCGUAAAGGGCACGCAGGCGGUUAAUUAAGUUGGAUGUGAAAUCCCCGGGCUUAACCUGGGAAUGGCAUUCAAGACUGGUUAGCUAGAGUCUUGUAGAGGGGGUAGAAUUCCAUGUGUAGCGGUGAAAUGCGUAGAGAUGUGGAGGAAUACCGGUGGCGAAGGCGGCCCCUGGGACAAAGGACUGACGCUCAUGUGCGAAAGCGUGGGGAGCGAAACAGGGAUUAGAU
rnacentral:rRNA from 1 species